rnacentral:rRNA from 1 species
UGAAUACGAGAUGCUACGGCAUCGAAGCAGUCUAUGUCAUACUUCCAAGAAAAGCUUGCACUGUCAUAAACAAAUAAUGCCUGUACCAUAACCGACACAGGUGGGUAGGUAGAGUAUACUAAGGGGCGCGAGAUAACUCUCUCUAAGGAACUCGGCAAAAUGACUCCGUAACUUCGGGAGAAGGAGUGCCUUAUUUUAUAAGGUUGCAAUAACAAGAUCCAAGCAACUGUUUACCAAAAACACAGGUCUCCGCUAAGUCGUAAGACGAUGUAUGGGGGCUGACGCCUGCCCAGUGCCAGAAGGUUAAAGAAGUUGGUUAGCAUUAGCGAAGCUGAUAACUGAAGCCCUGGUGAACGGCGGCCGUAACUAUAACGGUCCUAAGGUAGCGAAAUUCCUUGUCGGGUAAGUUCCGACCCGCACGAAAGGCGUAAUGAUUUGGAUACUGUCUCGGAGAGGGGCUCGGUGAAAUAGACUUGUCUGUGAAGAUGCGGACUACCUGCACCAGGACAGAAAGACCCUAUGAAGCUUUACUGUAACUUGAGAUUGAAAUUGGACUUAUUUGCGCAGUAUAGGUGGGAGACGUUGAAAAUAUUCUUGCGGGAAUAUUGGAGUCAUCAGUGAGAUACCACUCUUAUAAUGUUAGAUUUCUAACUUUGUAUCAUUAUCUGGUCAAAGAACAGUCUCAGGCGGGCAGUUUGACUGGGGCGGUCGCCUCCCAAACGGUAACGGAGGCGCACAAAGGUUUCCUCUGAACGUGUAGAAAUCGUAUCUAGAGUGUAAAGGCAUAAGGAAGCUUGACUGUGAGACCUACAAGUCGAGCAGGGACGAAAGUCGGUCUUAGUGGUCUGACGGUGCUGAGUGGAAAGGCCGUCACUCAACGGAUAAAAGUUACUCUAGGAUAACAGGCUGAUCUCCCCCAAGAGUUCACAUCGACGGGGAGGUUUGGCACCUCGAUGUCGGCUCAUCGCAUCCUGGGGCGGUAGUACGUCCCAAGGGUUGGGCUGUUCGCCCAUGAAAGCGGUACGCGAGCUGGGUUCAGAACGUCGUGAGACAGUUCGGUCCAUAUCCGGUGUAGGCGUUAGAAUAUUGAGAGGAGCCUUCUUUAGUACGAGAGGACCGAGAAGGACAUACCUCUGGUGUACCAGUUAUCGUGCCAACGGUAAACGCUGGGUAGCUAUGUAUGGAGAGGAUAACCGCUGAAAGCAUCUAAGUGGGAAGCCCACCUCAAGAUAAGUAUUCUC